rnacentral:rRNA from 1 species
UACAGAGGGUGCGAGCGUUGUCCGGAAUCACUGGGCGUAAAGGGCGCGUAGGUGGCCUGGUAAGUAGGGGGUGAAAUCUCGCGGCUCAACUGCGAGGCUGCCUCCUAAACUGUCAGGCUCGAGCAGAGUAGAGGCAGGUGGAAUUCCCGGUGUAGCGGUGGAAUGCGUAGAGAUCGGGAAGAACACCGGUGGCGAAAGCGCUCUACUGGGCCUGCACUGACACUGAGGGACGAAAGCUAGGGGAGCGAAAGGG